rnacentral:rRNA from 1 species
UCUUCCGCAAUGGACGAAAGUCUGACGGAGCAACGCCGCGUGAGUGAUGGAGGUUUUCGGAUCGUAAAACUCUGUUGUUAGGGAAGAANAAGUACCGUUCGAAUAGGGCCGUACCUUGACGGUACCUAACCAGAACGCCACGGCUAACUACGUUCCAGCAGCCGCGGUAAUACGUAGGUGGCAAUCGUUGUCCGGAAUUACUGGGCGUAAAGCGCGCGCAGGCGGUUUCUUAAGUCUGAUGUGAAAGCCCCCGGCUCAACCGGGGAGGGUCAAUGGAAACUGGGGAACUUGAGUGCAGAAGAGGAGAGUGGAAUUCCACGUGUAGCGGUGAAAUGCGUAGAGAUGUGGAGGAACACCAGUGGCGAAGGCGACUCUCUGGUCUGUAACUGACGCUGAGGCGCGAAAGCGUGGGGAGCGAACAG